rnacentral:misc_RNA from 1 species
GAUGAAGAACGUAGCGAAAUGCGAUAAGUAAUGCGAAUUGCAGAAUUCAGUGAGUCAUCGAAUCUUUGAACGCACAUUGCGCCCUGUGGUAUUCCGCAGGGCAUGUCUGUUCGAGCGUCAUUUCAACCCUCAAGCCCCGCUUGGUGUUGGGCCCCGCCCGCUGUGGCCGGCCCUAAAGACAGUGGCGGCGCCGCCUGGCCCUCAGCGUAGUACAUCUCUCGCUCCAGGGUCCGGUGGCCGCCUGCCAGAACCCCCCAACUCUGUGGUUGACCUCGGAUCAGGUAGGGAUACCCGCUGAACUUAAGCAUAUCAAUAAGCGGAGGA